GGCUUAACUCGGGGAGCUCGUUCAAUACUGCGGGGGCUAGAGGGCAGCAGAGGGAGGUGGAAUUCCCGGUGUAGUGGUGAAAUGCGUAGAUAUCGGGAGGAACACCCGUGGCGAAGGCGGCCUCCUGGGCUGACCCUGACGCUGAAUGCGAAAGCUAGGGGAGCGAACGGGAUUAGAUACCCCGGUAGUCCUAGCUGUAAACGAUGGAUGCUGGGUCUGGGGGGUAUAAAUUCCCUCUGUGCCGAAGCUAACGCGUUAAGCAUCCCGCCUGGGGACUACGGCCGCAAGGCUAAAACUCAAACGAAUUGACGGGGGCCCGCACAAGCAGCGGAGCGUGUGGUUUAAUUCGAUGCUACACGAAGAGCCUUACCUGGGCUUGACAUGCACGUGGUAGGGAACCGAAAGGGGACCGACCUUCGGGAGCGUGCACAGGUGCUGCAUGGCUGUCGUCAGCUCGUGCCGUGAGGUGUCGGGUUAAGUCUCGUAACGAGCGCAACCCUUGCCCUUAGUUAUACGUGUCUAAGGGGACUGCCCGGGAUAACCGGGAGGAAGGUGGGGAUGACGUCAAGUCAGCAUGGCCUUUAUGUCAGGGCUACACACACGCUACAAUGGCCGGUACAAUGGGUCGCGAAGCCGUGAGGCGGAGCCAAUCCUGAAAGCCGGUCUCAGUUCGGAUUGUAGGCUGCAACUCGCCUACAUGAAGUUGGAGUUGCUAGUAACCGCAGGUCAGCUAUACUGCGGUGAUACGUUCCCGGGCCUUGUACACACCGCCCGUCACGUCAUGGGAGCUGGCAACACCUGAAGCCGGUGAGCUAACCCGAAAGGGGGCAGCCGUAUAAGGUGGGGCUGGUGACUGGGACGAAGUC
rnacentral:rRNA from 1 species